rnacentral:rRNA from 1 species
CCUACGGGAGGCAGCAGUGAGGAAUAUUGGUCAAUGGACGAGAGUCUGAACCAGCCAAGUAGCGUGAAGGAUGACUGCCCUAUGGGUUGUAAACUUCUUUUAUAUGGGAAUAAAACAGGGUAUGCAUACCCUCUUGUAUGUACCAUAUGAAUAAGGAUCGGCUAACUCCGUGCCAGCAGCCGCGGUAAUACGGAGGAUCCGAGCGUUAUCCGGAUUUAUUGGGGUUAAAGGGAGCGUAGGUGGAUUGUUAAGUGAGUUGGGAAAGUGGGCGGCUCAACCGUACAAUUGCAGUUGAAACUGGCAGUCUUGAGUACAGUAGAGGUGGGCGGAAUUCGUGGUGUAGCGGUGAAAUGCUUAGAUAUCACGAAGAACUCCGAUUGCGAAGGCAGCUCACUGGACUGCAACUGACACUGAUGCUCGAAAGUGUGGGUAUCAAACAGGAUUAGAUACCCGAGUAGUC